rnacentral:lncRNA from 1 species
CAAACGCACAGAGAGAAUUUUAUUUCAUGAACAGAACAGCGUUAGUCAAAGUGAAAAUAAUGAUUUCACCUAAGAGGUCAAAUACCACAAAACUCACCAUGUUGGGUUUACAGUAAUGUAACGGACAAAGGAAUAGAUCAAGUGUCUGAAGUUGGUAGCAAGAAAAGCUAAUUUCUACUAAAGAGAAACAUGAAAUCUCAUUUCUGGAUUACCAACCUAAUUUAUUGAAGAAUAGAGGAAAUAGCAUAACUUGAAAAAGUCAAAAUAUAUUAGCAGCACUAUAUUUUUAUGUCUGUACAUCUAGACGAGCCAGAUAGCUGGCCGGUUGAAGGGAGGGGAUGUGGUUAGCUUUGUUAAACUUAAGCCAAAGCCAUUAACGCCUCGCUUAAACAGUAGUGCUUUUCUUCUUGAUGUUUAGGUAGGUCAUCUAGUUUCUGGAGCUUAGAGAUGAAGAAGUCUCUACUUGAUGACCGUCUAUUAAUCUAUGAGAUUAUUAAGAACUGUUAAGUGAUACACAGACCAUAGAAACCAUAUGUUUUACUUCCAAUAACUUCCAAUCGUUUGUGGCAGGACCAAGGAAAUACACACCUCUAUCGAAUACUCAGGAGUCCUGGAGUUCACUGAUUUGCCAAAGGUUUUAGAGAAAGUGUGGAUUAUGCAAGAACUAACAAACACUCAAACUAAAUUCUGAUUAAGAGUCAUCCUAUCUAUGGUUUCUUUUGGAAUUAUCAGGAUUGCAACAGAGUUUAAAUUACUCAAGGAGAAAUGGUCAUGGAGCUCUGGAG